rnacentral:rRNA from 1 species
CCUACGGGGGGCAGCAGUGGGGAAUAUUGGGCAAUGGGCGCAAGUCUGACGCAGCAGCGCCGCGUGAAGGAAGAAGGUUUUCGGGUUGUAAACUUCUUUUAAGGGGGAAGAGCAUAAGACGGUACCCCUUGAAUAAGCCACGGCUAACGACGCGCCAGCAGCCGGGGUAACACGUAGGGGGCAAGCGUUGUCCGGAUUUACUGGGUGUAAAGGGCGUGCAGCCGGGGAGACAAGUCAGAUGUGAAACCCACGGGCUCAACCCGUGAACUGCAUUUGAAACUGUUUCCCUUGAGUGUAGGAGAGGUAAGCGGAAUUCCUGGUGUAGCGGUGAAAUGCGUAGAGAUAAGGAGGAACACCAGUGGCGAAGGCGGAUUACUGGACGAUAACUGACGGUGAGGCGCGAAAGCGUGGGGAGCAAACAGGAUUAGAUACCCUUGUAGUC